GACGAACGCUGGCGGCGUGCUUAACACAUGCAAGUCGAACGGAAAGGCCCUGCUCUUGUGGGGUGCUCGAGUGGCGAACGGGUGAGUAACACGUGAGUAACCUGCCCUUGACUUUGGGAUAACUUCAGGAAACUGGGGCUAAUACCGGAUAGGAGCUCCUGCUGCAUGGUGGGGGUUGGAAAGUUUCGGCGGUUGGGGAUGGACUCGCGGCUUAUCAGCUUGUUGGUGGGGUAGUGGCUUACCAAGGUUUUGACGGGAAGCCGGCCUGAGAGGGUGACCGGCCACAUUGGGACUGGGAUACGGCGCAGACUCCUACGGGAGGCAGCAGUGGGGAAUAUUGCACAAUGGGCGGAAGCCUGAUGCAGCAACGCCGCGUGCGAGAUGACGGCCUUCGGGUUGUAAACCGCUUUCGCCUGUGACGAAGCGUGAGUGGCGGUAAUGGGUAAAGAAGCACCGGCUAACUAC
rnacentral:rRNA from 1 species